UGUUUUUAAACCAGAGGCGUUUAGACACCUGGCAGGCAUGCAGGUAAAUUAAACAGACCCUGACCACCACAACUGGAACUACACGAGGGACGUGUCCUGGUGGAUGGACUGCAGGCAGCCCAGCAGCUGAUGGUAGGGGCUCCCCGGCGAGGCCACGGUCUCGAACACGGACUGGAAGGCCCUGCGGUCGAGCUCCUCGUCGAUCUGGUGCCGGUAGAAGUCCAUGGCCACCAGGCAGAACAGGUUGACGUCCACCACCUCGCUGGAGCCCAUACGGCUGAUCACAUGUGGCAGUCUGGUACAGGAGGGGGGGCUAAGGACAACAGACUGUACAUGAUGGAUGCUCAUAGUCAUUAAAUAAUAAAACCAGAA